AAUCGGCAGAGAAAUUCGAGCUUCCACAAGUGAAACCAAAACACUAAUUUCAGUUUUUGUCAGCAAUACAAACCCAGCGCCCCGUGAGGACUCUGGAAGUCUGUCACAGCCAGAAUCGCGAGUCCGGGCAGGUGCACUGCACCGGCCCUGGGAGUGACACCGACCUGCCAAAGCUGGGACCACGCGUCACCCGCAGAACUUCACCUCCAGGCCUGACAGCACAGCCCAGGACCAGGAAGGCCUGAAGAGCUCCGCAAGUGCGUGCAUUUAAACAAAGCGAGGCACUUCCCUCCUCCCAAGAGCUCUCUCCUCGUGCUGCUCCUGGGGAAGAGGACAGCGAGUACCAGCCGGGCUGCUGUUGGAUAGCGCGCACAUUCUGAGAGGAACACCCAGCUGGCUUUUAUUAAUUGUCUGCAUUCCACGAGCUUUGUCCUCCUGGCGGUGUGGAUAAUUUCUGUUUAAAAGACAAUUUGCUGUUUUCACAGCAGUCCUGGUUAUCAAAUUCCUUACCCUUCUUCUUAAACUACAAAUAGCAGUGCCGCUUCAUCUGCACACAAAGAUCCUUGUUCCUGGCCGGGGACAAGUCCCCGACAGAGGUCCGGGUCACCGCCUGUGUGGCCGGCCGUGUGGGCUGUGUGCGUGGCACCUGUUGCCCAGCCCGAGCCUCCCGGCUGGGCUUCUGGACCACUGUCCCUUGAGGAGCCGGCCAGGAAAUUCGUUUCACAGCACAAUUUCUCUUGUGCCGUCAUUAUACCAACAACAAUAACAACGAGGACAGCAUAGUUCCAUGCUUAAUUCCCUCAUCACCUGAAGGCUAGGAAACUGAUCUUUCUCUCUGAAACACCGAGAAUUGUGGACACAGUGCUCUGGGAUAAUCGUGUGGUUAAGGAGACCAUUACAGCAUGGCCUGUGUCCGAAUCUCUACAGAGACCGUUCUCCAGUGGCUCCACCAUAGGCUCCAGAGACAGCUCAGUGCCCGCUCCCUCCCUCCCGGGCGGGGGCUCUCUGGCUCUCCCUCUCUGGCUUGGUGACUUGGCUGCAUUCCAGAGGAAGAUGUUUCUGCAACACAGACAGAAGACUAAGUUAGAUCCAAUCCCAGCACGUGCAUGUGAGGGUGAGGCAGGAGGAGUGCUGAGUUCAAGGCCAACCUCAGCUACAUAGUGAGAGACCCUGUCUCAAAAAUGACAGAGCAACAAUACUAAAAUACAAUAGAGAAGGGAAGAAACCACCAACAAAUGACAGUGCAGACAUAAUCCUUUCCGAUAGAAAUGAGUAUUGGUAAUACAAGCCAAACAUCAGAAUACUCUGAGGGCAUUGACAUGGUUACUUUUCUUCAUAUGAUUUCUACUUCAUUUUUUUCCUGACUUUAUUUGAUCUGGCUAAUUUAACUUAGGAAUUUGUUUGUUUGUUUGCUUGAGACAGGGUCUCAGUAUGUAGCCCAGGCUGGCCUUGAACUUGCAGCCAUCCUCCUGCCUCAGCCUCUUGAGUGCUGGGAUUAUAGGCAUGUGCCACCACACCUGGUUAAUUUGGAUAUUUUUAAGGGAC
rnacentral:lncRNA from 1 species